GUCACAUGACCUCUGCAUGUCUCUGGGUCUAAGGACCCAGAACUCACUCAAAGCUCUGCAUAGCAUUCCACCUAUCAUGACAACAUGCAAGAAUGUGACAUGUUAUCAACUGUCACCCUUAGUGGACUACAGAUUAAAGCAGAGUACACUUGCCAGUGGCAACAGUAUCUCACAAGAGGCUAAUUCAGUGUCUUACAAGAGGCUAACUUCCCAGAAUACUUGUGUGAAGACAGAGCAAUGAACAGCUACAUUCCAUGAGAGACACUCAUUUUUAGGUAAGUGUUAUUCAAGUCUUCAUGAUAAAGGUAGGCUGGAGAAAACUGUAAUGACUGAAGCUUUCUGCCCCUUGCACAUCUUCUGGAAGAUACCUGUAAUGUUGAAGAGCAACGACAUUCUUCUCUGAGUAACCAACCUGUCACAACAG
rnacentral:lncRNA from 1 species